GACACAUUUCUGUUUGUUUAGGGCCUGAUUUUCAGACACGCUGAACAGCCUCAGUUCCACAGAGGUCAGUAGGAUCUGUCUGGGUGACACCUCUGUAAACCAUUUACAAAUGAUUUACAGGACCAUUAUUUGUGAAGAUAAAGUAAGAGGAUUAACCAACCAAAAGAGAAGCAUACAUUUCCCUAGUAUGAGGAGCUGGACCCAAACACACAAAUGUUCUCAAGAUUCCUUUCACCUAGGCAUAUUAGUUGGAGGAAAUGAAUGAUCCUCAGGGACAGUUCCUCAGAAGAAAGGAAGUGUUUGAUGAAUGAGGAUACAGAGGUCUCAAAGUAGCUGUGUCAUGCCUCAGCAAGGACUUCCACAAAGAAGACUGAUGGUAGUUACUUACUGCCUUUACAGAUGUGGGAGGAUAUUCAGGCAUCUGUGGGACACUGUGCUCUUAAAAAAAAAAAAAAAAAAAAAAAAAAAUUCUACAGCUUCAUCUGAAGCAAUUGGAGUAAACCAGAUGUAAUAUAUUCUAUUUAAAUG